rnacentral:rRNA from 1 species
CGGGGGGCAGCAGUAAGGAAUAUUGGUCAAUGGAGGCAACUCUGAACCAGCCAUGCCGCGUGCAGGAAGACUGCCUUAUGGGUUGUAAACUGCUUUUAUACGGGAAUAAACCUUAAUUCGUGAAUUAAGCUGAAUGUACCGUAAGAAUAAGGAUCGGCUAACUCCGUGCCAGCAGCCGCGGUAAUACGGAGGAUCCAAGCGUUAUCCGGAUUUAUUGGGUUUAAAGGGAGCGUAGGCGGCUUGUUAAGUCAGGGGUGAAAGACGGUGGCUCAACCAUCGCAGUGCCUUUGAUACUGACGAGCUUGAAUAUAGUUGAGGUAGGCGGAAUGUGACAAGUAGCGGUGAAAUGCAUAGAUAUGUCACAGAACACCGAUUGCGAAGGCAGCUUACUAAGCUAUUAUUGACGCUGAGGCUCGAAAGCGUGGGGAUCAAACAGGAUUAGAUACCCGAGU